AACGAACGCUGGCGGCGCGCCUAAUACAUGCAAGUCGAACGAGAAGCUGUAGCAAUACAGUUGUACAGUGGCGAACGGGUGAGGAAUACAUGGGUGACCUACCCUCGAGUGGGGAAUAACCAGCCGAAAGGUUGGCUAAUACCGCGUACGCUUCCCAGUCUACGGGUUGGGAAGGAAAGCGAUGCCGUGGGUAUCGCGCUCAAGGUUGGG
rnacentral:rRNA from 1 species